rnacentral:rRNA from 1 species
AGCUCCAAUAGCGUAUAUUAAAGUUGUUGCAGUUAAAAAGCUCGUAGUUGGAUCUCGGGUUUAGGCUUGCGGUACAGCUUAGGCUGCCUACUGCUUGUCCUGACCUCCCAGCCGGUUUUCCCUCGGUGCUCUUAAGUGAGUGUCUUGGGUGGCCGGAACGUUUACUUUGAAAAAAUUAGAGUGCUCAAAGCAGGCUCUCGCCUGAAUAUUAGUGCAUGGAAUAAUUGAAUAGGACCUCGGUUCUAUUUUGUUGGUUUUCGGAGCUCGAGGUAAUGAUUAAGAGGGACAGACGGGGGCAUUCGUAUUACGGUGUUAGAGGUGAAAUUCUUGGAUCGCCGUAAGACGAACUACUGCGAAAGCAUUUGCCAAGAAUGUUUUCAUUAAUCAAGAACGAAAGUAG